CUGUAAGCACUGUCAGGAGAAACUGAAGGACCACACAGGCAGAAGAGAAAAGCCGGUCUUGUUCUGUGAGGAGUCCUGGGGCCUGGCUGCAUGGUGGCCCCAGCAGCAACAGCCUGGCAAGGAGGUUUGGAGACAUCAAAGAGACAAAGGCCUGGCAGGUGUCCCAGCGUUUCCCAGGCCGCGUCCGGCACUCGCUGCACUCGCAUCACGGAUCCACAGCACCAUCAUCGUGGGCAUCCCUGGCUGGCUCACCUAGACGUCCGACUCAUUUCUCUGCAGUCUUGGCCACACUCCACUUUCCAACACCCGCUGCGUGCUGCACCUUCCAGAAGCACCUGGACCGAGGCACCUUAUAUCAGGGUUUUCGAGGGGCUGAUGGCCAGGACGCUAGCAGGACGGAGAGGCGGGGCAUUUAAGGGCACGCCCCAUCUGAGGGCCCCCUCUGAAAGGAAGUGCAUUCCAUUCUGUGAAAUCCAUAGAUCUGGGAGAGGAGGGGCGCUGUGGUAACCAUACCCCUUCCCAGCUGGCGCCUCAAACAUUUAGGUUGCUUCUAGAGGGAUUAGAAACCCGCCCAGGUUUGAGGGAUUUAUGAAGCCACGCCCACUCACACCA